rnacentral:misc_RNA from 1 species
CCCCUUUGUCUCCGAGUGAAAAGACCUUGACGAGGAAGAAUAUAUUCAGUGAGAAUGCACAGUGUUUACGAGUACAAUGAAGAAUACAUCGACGAGUUCUGCACCGCGAUUCUGUGCUCUGUGUGUACUUCGCGUGACUUGACGAUUAGCGGGUCAAGGUGUUAGAAUCACAAGAGUGGAUAUGGUAACUAUGAACUCCGAAAAAUCGGCUUGCCGCCGAAAACCAGUGGAAAAAAGCAGCAGCGAAAAGACACCAGAGCAUGUUGAGGAGGCCGACAAGAAGAAUGAGGAUAAUCGUAUAACUGAAUCUCCAGAUUUGUCUCCCAACACUCCCACAUACAACGUCACUGCCUCUUGCGCCGAAGACACCCCUAACUACCUUGUCUAUAAGAAGAUGGAGUCGAUCGUAGAAAAGAUGUUAGACGAGUUUACAGGUGUUCCCGUAAAAACAGUCAAGACUUUCAUGACGAAAACGCCAUCUGUUUUUACAGGCACGGAUCUCAUAGCAUGGAUGAUGAAGAGUAUGGAUAUAGAUGAUCAAGAGGCUCUUCAUGUGGCUCAUCUAAUGGCAUCCCAUGGAUAUUUCUUCCCUAUCGACGAUCACUGCCUUACCGUGAAGAACGACAACACGUUCUAUAGGUUUCAAACUCCCUAUUUUUGGCCAUCGAACUGUUGGGAACCUGAAAACACUGAUUAUGCUGUCUAUUUAUGCAAAAGGACGAUGCAGAACAAAACGCGACUGGAAUUGGCAGACUACGAGGCGGAGAACCUGGCUAGAUUGCAAAAGAUGUUUUCGCGAAAAUGGGAAUUUAUCUUUAUGCAGGCGGAAGCGCAGAGUAAAGUCGACAAGAAAAGGGAUAAGCUGGAAAGGAAAGUCUUGGACAGUCAAGAGAGAGCCUUCUGGGAUGUACAUCGGCCGAUGCCUGGAUGCGUAAACACCACUGAGCUGGAUAUUAAAAAAGCCUGUCGUAGUCACAAGUCCGUCGUACAACCGAGCAAGCACUUGCAGCUGGGGCUCGCGGGCGGCAGGAUAUCACCGUCUGCGGAACCGCACGCGAACUCGUCGACGUCGAUCGAAUUUUUACAGAAAGAGAUCGAGACGCUGAAAGACAGACUCGACAGGCCCGUCAUCAAAGUGUCGAAAGUAGCCGAAGCUCUGAUUGGAUACUUUGAGCAAUAUAUGGAGUACGACCCUUUUUUCACUCAACCUGAGUUGACGAAUCCGUGGAUAUCCGAUAGCCCAGAAAUGUGGGAGCAAGAGAAAUUAGCGAAAGAAAUAUCCACGAGGAGAGUGAAGAGAUGGGCGUUCAGUUUGCAAGAGCUUCUGCAGGAUCCCGUCGGUAGAGAACAAUUUAUACGCUUCUUAGAUAAGGAAUUUAGCGGCGAGAAUCUCAAAAAGACGUCCAAACGAAAGUCGAGGAGAUAUGGCGCGAAUUCUUGGACACGGACGCCAGUUGUCCUAUCAAUGUCGAUUCUCGGUCUUACGAGAUAACGAAAAAGAAUCUCGAAAAGCCGGACCAAUGGUGUUUCGACGUUGCCGCGGCGCAUGUAUAUCAUCUGAUGAAGAGCGACAGUUAUUCGAGAUAUUUGCGCUCAGAAAUGUACAAGGACUUCCUUAACGGAUCGAAGAAAAAGACUUCGGUAAAAGGCAUUCGUUCCAUCGUUUCCUUCACAGGACGGAGGGACACUACAGUCUCGUAACCUGCCAGUUUUUAACACUAUACUUGCGUCU